UUUAAACCUUAAACAUGUUCUGUCAGAUUUGCUCUUUGUCUUUGUCUAGGCAACUCUUCUGCCAUUUCAUCUCUCAGAAUUGCACUGAAAUCCAGGGGUGAAGAUAGAGGCCAUGCAGUCAAAAUUCAGUAAGAGGCCACUGCCACCUUUUCAUUCCAAGAGGAUGAGAAAUUGGGUCUUCCACUAUUCCUGAAGUCAAAGGAGAGAACCUGCUCUUUGUUGAAUCCGAUUGCUGCAAAUUAAUCUGUUUUGUGAAAAUUUCAUUUUUGUAAAAUAGAAACAUGGCUAUCAGGACUCAUAUAACAGUAAUGUUAAAGGACAACUAUGUACUAUCUAAGAUGUUUCAGGCCAUGAUCAUGGAAGGCAUUUCAGCUAUUCCAGAGACAUCAUCAACUUUUGCUGAGGUGCAACAUUCCCAUUUAUUUCUUUUAGCUUCUUGUCUAUUCUGAAUGCCAUUUUGACUUCUCCGAAUUCCCUACAGUUUCUGAUGCAGCCUCUGAAUGUUCACUUUGGAACAAUCCAGCCUACUUCCUUUGCACAGAAAGUCAGUUGUGUAUAUAAAUGACAAGACAGAACCAGCUGGAAAACAAAUGAGAGGAGAGGGGCAAUAGAGGCGAAGGAAGACAAUGAGUGAAGAUUUGAGUGAAGGUCUCAGUCUUUAGCUUGUUGCUAAGAAAGCCUUGCCAGCAGCCAUUCGUUGAUGUACCUGAGUACCAGAACUCCUACCAAAGACCAUGCUCUUAAUACCUGGUGAAAACUGUAAGGGGAAAGCUAACACCUGCUAGCGUUACACCUGGCUGGCUCAGCGUCUGCUUAUCAGCCGCCUGCUUUUUAUAGGUAGAGUAUUAAAUAAAACACACAAAACUUUGUGUUUCCUUUGACUUUGUAUUGGGAAGUAUUUCUGGAUUUCCCAGCUCUUUCUGACAGAAGGGUGUGAAAGCUUGGCUGGAUGACAUAAGCCAAA